AGUGAACGCUGGCGGUAGGCCUAACACAUGCAAGUCGAACGGCAGCACAGUAAGAGCUUGCUCUUACGGGUGGCGAGUGGCGGACGGGUGAGGAAUACAUCGGAAUCUACUUUUUUGUGGGGGAUAACGUAGGGAAACUUACGCUAAUACCGCAUACGACCUACGGGUGAAAGCAGGGGAUCUUCGGACCUUGCGCGAUUGAAUGAGCCGAUGUCGGAUUAGCUGGUUGGCGGGGUAAAGGCCCACCAAGGCGACGAUCCGUAGCUGGUCUGAGAGGAUGAUCAGCCACACUGGAACUGAGACACGGUCCAGACUCCUACGGGAGGCAGCAGUGGGGAAUAUUGGACAAUGGGCGCAAGCCUGAUCCAGCCAUACCGCGUGGGUGAAGAAGGCCUUCGGGUUGUAAAGCCCUUUUGUUGGGAAAGAAAAGCAGCAGGUUAAUACCCCGCUGUUCUGACGGUACCCAAAGAAUAAGCACCGGCUAACUUCGUG
rnacentral:rRNA from 1 species